rnacentral:rRNA from 1 species
UACGGAGGGUGCAAGCGCUGUCCGGAAUCAUUGGGCGUAAAGCGCACGUAGGCGGCUCUUUAAGUCUCUUGGUGAAAGGCUGGGGCUCAACCCCAUGCAUGCCGGGGAUACUGGGGAGCUGGAGACAGGUAGAGGCCAGCGGAAUUCCGGGUGUAGCGGUGGAAUGCGUAGAGAUCCGGAAGAACACCGGUGGCGAAGGCGGCCUGCUGGGCAGUAUAGCUGACACUGAGGCGCGACAGCGUGGGGAGCAAACAGG